rnacentral:lncRNA from 1 species
CCCUCCCGCCCGUCCGAUUGGGCCUCUCUGGGGGUGUGUGGGGGGGCGGGGCGCGCGCGGGGGACGCCGCGGAGAUGGUACAGUCCACCCCGGGCUCCCAACCCCCUCCCGGCGGUUCAAGUUUCUGCGCCCGGAGGACGCGGCCUCGGCCAAUCCCCGGGCUACAGGGCGCUUUUAAAAUGCAGGAGAGGUGAGUGGGGUCAUAGGUGACCUCAGCUUCUUGUCCCCGUCCGUAUUCCUGGACAAGGAGGAUGGUGGAAGGACGGAGGACAAGGCAGUGCCUCUGGAAAUCCAAAAUGCCAAGUCCCAGCCCAGGUGCCUCCCUCCCACCGAGGAGCCUCUGGUGUCCUGGUCGCCUCUGGACGUGGUGUGGCCACCAGAAGAACCGGGCAGCUCCAAGGGGCCCCCUGCUGGCCUGAGGAGUUGCUGCGGCCACAAAGAAGAGGUGCGCUCACUCCCCACACCCGCUGACCCAGGACCCAGCUCAGGGACCCAGACCAUGCCAAGCACUUCGCUGGGAGCCACCGGGAAACAGCAUCUCCCCACAGCCCUGCGAGCUGGGCCUUUCACAGAUGUGAGGCCCUGGAGGAGACUGUCCCGUCAGGCUGCUCCCAAAAAUCCACUGUCAGGGAAACAAGCAAGAGGCAGAACAUGAAUAAAAAUAACAUGAAAGUGUAAUUAUUUAAAAAAUAACGAGCAAAGGUGCUGUGCAAGCAUAGACUCUGGAGGAUGGCGCGAGCACCGGGCAG